AAUCGGAAAGACGAUUGAAUUAAUUAUAAGGACAAUAUUGAUGGAGUAACUAAUCUCAACAUCAUCGAUUUACACAAGAAGAAUCAGAUUGAAGUCUCUUAUACUAAAAUCCCAUGUUCUAUGGUAACUUGCCAAGGUGGUUGUUGCUGGUGCUAACUCUGUUCAAAUUAUCGGGGUAAUGGUAUUACAAUUCCAUCUCAGUACCAUCUUAGGACCGAAGUAGGGUAAAAGAAGUUAAACACGAACUCUGAUACCAGUGCAGAAAAUAUUCUGAAUAACUGUAUACGGACAACUGUUCACCCCAAGUAUCUUUCCGAAUGAUUGGUAAGUCAUUCUAGCUAUGCGUUACUGAACAGGUAAAUAGGAAAUUUGUUUCCAAUGGUUAUAUGCUAAUAUUUUUAUCAACACAAUGUACUCUUUAUAUGGAUUUGCAUCUUUCGUUUCUUAAGCAAUUUAUAGGUCCAUGACCGAAUCAGACUAUAUCCAUCUGCGUCUGUGUUUUUCAAAUUAUGUUAUAAGCUUACUAUAUCUUUAUAUCUAAAUAGUGUAAAUGUAAAAGAGUAAUAAUUUUCUACAAUUCUGUAACCCUUCACUGUUUUCCAUUAGCUUUGGUUCUUAUUAUGCAGUUGCUAUCUUUUGAUAUUCGUGGCAGUUCAGUUAGUCAUCUUCAUCAUGAAGUCUGUACAAUUUUCCAAGGUCAUUGCUAACAACUUGGUUGAGCUAGCUGGGGAAGGGAGUAAUAGCUGUAGUUAGAGGUGAUGGGUUGAUUGCAGCUACAGAAAAAGUAGGUCAGGCCAACUAUAUUUUCCACGUGUCCGCCAGAAGAGAGUAGUAAAAAUCGCCGGGGGUGCCGACUCGAUGGCAACUGUGGAGAAAGUAGGUCAGGAAGAACAAGAUGUGCCACAUGUCCACUAGAGGAGCCACAUGACUCUAGCUUCUAUUUUGAUACCAGUGAAGGGAUAUUUGUACACAUGGAUUUGUUCAAUUACGAAAAAAUGUUAAUUUUAUUGUUAACUGUUAGAUUGUAUGUUAUUUAUCAUAAUAAGCAUGGGUCUUUCGGCUGAACUGGGUUGUUUUUCUCCUUCGAUGCAGGCAUUUCCGAUAGAAUGAACGGGAAGAGGAUGUACAUUCUUAUUUUGAUAGCUUAUAUCCAGGAAACACACUUGGAUUUAUGGAAGGUGCGGAUUAAGUUUGUAGUUUCCUUGGCCUACACUUUUGCUCUCAUUUUUCUUGAACUUCAAAAUUCAAAAUUGUGAGGUUCUCCACUUUGUGAUAUAGAUUGAAGCUAGCUUGAUCUCCGGUUUUUGGCUAAUCAUCUUCUAAUCAGUUGAUCUUGAUCUCGACAAUUUAGGCUGCGAAUUAUACAUAACGAGUUUUGCAGCUUACUAUUGCUACUAUUGCUGCGGAAGAGAUUUCUCGUAAUGUAUCACGUUUUGGGAUUUUCAGUGCAACAUAUUACUUUUAAUGUAGUAUCAAACUUGGCAGCUUGACUUUGGGAUCUUCUCUUUUAGAUUUCAGGAUUUAAUUGAAAGCCUGCAGUUAGUAACUUCUUUUCACUAAGUACUCCGCACCAAAACAUUGUCCCUAGAAAUGUUAUUUAGAGCUGUUUGAUGUUUAUAGGAUGUUAAGUCCUAGGAUGUUUAUAGCCCCACCAGGGAAAUGUUUAUAGGAUGUUAAGACUUUUAGAUGUGCUGAACUUAUAAAUAUAGUUGUACAUACUUUCUGUUGCAUGUAGUUAGUGGAAAGGUGUUUAAAUGAAAGUAAGCGAUUAUCACAAUCAGAAAUAUAGUAGUACACUUAAUAAUUAUAUAGGCUUAUGCCCAUGAUUACUUAAGUAUUUUUGCUGCAGGGAAAUUUCGGGCACACCCAGUUACAUUUACAGGCUUAUAAAAAUAUAGUAAUAUUUUUGCUCGCAUACAGUUACCCCUUGAAGCUGGACUGAGGUUUUAUUCCAAUUUUAUACAGUUAUAUUGUUCCUUCGCUGCACUUUCUCUAAUUCAGUCUUCUAGAAAGCCAGAGAACGUAGGCUCCUCCAACGUGUGGAGAUAUUAUCGAUAACAACUCGAAUAUAGUCAUAUCUAUAGCAUUUUCAGUUGGGUUUGUUGUUGUUGUCAUCUAGCAAAAUAGCAAAGGAAGACCAGGUCGCGUCUUUCCGUACUGUAACUGUGAAGGUUAAAUCUUGAAAGUUGAAACAUUCGCUUUUAUUUUAUUUUGUUUUGAAUUUUUUAUUGCGAAGUUUUCAUAAUUUUACAUUAGUGUACCAAAACAGUGAUGGUAAAUUGAAUAACAAUAAUUACACAUCAUGGAACCUUUAAUAAACACGAUAAUCAUUUUUUCUAUUUCUAGAUAAACAUCUGCUAACUUGAAAGAUUUUCAGUGCAACUUAGCAAUGGGUUAGUAACAUGUUUGAAGUUGAACUGUCUUCACUUCGGUAUAGAAACCGGUUCUUAUUGGAUGAGGACAGGACAAUUCCUAUAAGUUGCUAGGUCUUGAGAUUCACCGAAACCUUUUCCUAGUUUGAUGUAUGUUGUUUAGUUGAAACUUUGCUGGCCCUAUGGAUAAGAUUUCACAAUGUUCACAGUAAAAAUCACUUCACUUUGAUUACUUUCAUUCGUUCAAUCUGCAGUUGGUUUUUCAAUAGUUAAUUAUACAUAUCUAGGUUUCAAUUAUCUUUUUUCCGGUCUGAAUUGGAUUUUAUGAUUUCCUUUCUUCAUUUUUUGGAUUUUGUAGGGGUUCAGAUGAAUUUUGGAGAUACUUUAACACCGCCACUUUGACUAUUUAUGAAGUAUUCUAUUUCUGCAUUCAUGCCAACACCACCAUUACGUCUCACAGACACUCCACGAAAGUUAUUCCUGUUCUGGGGUACUUUACAGGUCAAUUCUCUUACUCUCUCCCACUGUGUUUGUGUAGUAUCCUAUAUGGACAGGCUAUUAAUAUUAGCGACAUAAAGGUAUUGAGUUUGAUAAGAUGACUCCACUAUUUGAAUUGCUAUUAGAAGGUCGAUUAAAACAAUGUCUUUCCUUAAUUGGAUGUAUUUGAUCAACCCAUGAGGGGGAAGUGAUGGAAUCCUUAACUUAGCUGGUGUUUACAUCUUACUUUUCGGAUGCAAGACUUUUAAAGUUUUUUUACCAAUUUUGGGCAUGUAUGAUCAAUGUUAUAUAUUGAUGCUCGAAGUAUCCAUAUAACAUCUAGAAGUAGCCAGUGUCAUAAUUUGAGAUUCACAAAAUCUGCUUCGGGAUUGAAAAUAUAUUCAGCAAAGCUGAGAGUAGCUCAUGUGCAACUAAGAUUAAUAAUUUGAUGUUCAAUGUGAUCCACUAACCAUUUUAAAGGCGAGUUAAUUAGUUUCAUACACUCGAUACAUUGAUAACAUUGGUUCAUAUAAUAGCAUUUUGUUGUCCAUGGGUCUGUAUGGUAUGAAAUACAUGGUAGGAUUAUAUAUUUAUUUCCAAAUUUGUCAGACUGACUGAGAUUGGCUCUAUUUUUUGUUAGAAAAAUGUGUACCAUUUUGUUUUUCCUGUUUUUCAUGAAAGUUACGAGUUAGGAUUUUCAAUUUAGGUAGGAAUUUGUUGAGAAUCAAUCAGUACUAAAGUGAAGCGUGUUUGAUCAGAUUCUAAGUUUCGCCUAUACCUAAAUAUUUUGACUUUUUUUCCUUCCACUAAUUAUAGGAUCAAACUAUUUUGUGAUUAAGGUACUGUGGCACUGCUUAUGUUUGCAAUGUCUAAGCAUGUUGCUAUGAAAGACUGUUCUUUACUAAUUUAUUUUCUCUAAAUAUCUGAGGGUUUAUCUUGCAUACAAGUUGAAGUUCACUACAGGAGUAUAGAUUGGCGAGUUUCAAAGUAUGACUUUGAUGACUUGCUCCUGUUGAGAGAAUAUAUUGCACUUUAUGUGUUUGGGUGCUCGAGGAGGAAUGGCACUUCUUGCAGUAGUAUAUUAAAUUACGUGAUCACAUUUCAAAGAUGGGUACUAAAUUACAGGUUGUUUUAGCACAUUUUCGUCCCAGGCCAGACUUACAUCCAACUGUUUUAUCUCCCGACAUCGAGGUUUUAGGUUUCGUUCCAGGAGAUACAAAACAUUGUUCUGCUUGGUACUGUUGUUUCUGACAACCCUGCUAAUCCAAAGAAAAAAUGGGUUGCAAAUGACAAGCUUCAAUUUUUGAGCGAAGGAGCAGCAGCCAAAGAACACGGUUGAAUGAUGUCAUCGCGGCAUGUUCCCUGUUGAAAAGCUUGAGGUUCUGGCUGCUACAUGGACACCAGGGGAAAUAAUAAGGAAGUGAUACUAUGGAGCCUUUGAUGUCGUGAGACAGUUCACCUGGAUUUUUGAGUAGGCACUCAAUGAUCAUUCUUCAAGCUAAGGCUGAAAAGCUGGCAAGAUAAGCUUCAGAUGAGGGUUUUUUAAUAAAUAUUUGGUAAUGUGGAUUGAUGACUUCAACACUACAAUGUAGAACUCGGAUUUGUUAUCAGCGUACAUGAAGCAUUGUGUGAGGUACUUAUAUUUUCAGCCAUGACAUUGGAACUUUGAUGAAACUUCGAUAAUGAACCAGAAGCGCCACAUAUCACCAUUGUCAGGUUAGUUUUUUUUUUUCUUUAUCGACUUCAAUUAGUUUACACAUUUUAUUUUAUUAUUUUUGUUUUUGUCUCUUUUAUUCUCUUUAUUUAGUAAAUAUGAAGUGUUUGUCUUGGAACACUAAUAUUGGGUACGAUUUAAAAUGGUUGCAUGAUGUAGAUGUCAUUCUCAUGAUCUGUUUAUUCAUUGUGAAAAACAUUGUUAAGGAAUGUGUAAUUUUCAAAUUUGCACUUGAUUUA